UUUAAAAUAUUAAGGGAAAAUCAAAAGCAAUGUAAUAUUUUAAAAUAUUAAGGGAGAAUUCUUAUUUUACCAUAAAUUUUAUAGCACUUUUCAAAUUUAAAUGAAAAUUAAUUCUCCUAAAUCAUUUAUAAAUAUUUAAUAAUUAUUAUCAAAGUUUAUAAAACUAACUUAAAUACUAAACUCUAAACAAUAAUAACUAAACUAAAAUGUUAGGAAAUUUCUAAUUGAAAGCAUUUUUAAAAGUGGUAAUCAAUUUGUGGUAUUUCAAACAAUUUCUAUAAAUGAAUUAUUUAUUUAGCAUAAGUUUGAUAUCGCUUUUCAAAUUUUCUUUUAAAUAAAUUUACAUAAAUAUCCUUAUAUUAUGAUAGAAAGACUAAAUUAGUCAUUCUAAAUAGAAGUUUUUAAUUUCUCCUAACUAAUAAAUCAAAUCUGAAAUAUGUUGCGUCCUAAACUCGUCAAAAUCCCAGACAGAUGGUCAUAUAUUUUCUUCUUUCUAAAGAAAUUACUAGUUUGAAUAAAGUGGAUUCAACCUUUUGAUAACCAUAUUUGAGUGCUUUAAUUAAUGAAUAAAUUUUAUAUAACUCGCUAUAUGUAACUUCACAAAACUUUUACGGUAAACUGUUUAAAAUAUAUUUUUUGCUAAAGGGUUUUUAUAGACUGUUUAAACUAUUGUACGUGUAUAACGUUCAUGAUUUAAAAUAUAUUAGAAAUAAUUUUCGUUGAGAUUGAUUACUUCCCAAUAAAUACAAGCAUGUGUACAGUGGUUGUUACUCACAUGUACUCACAUGCUGGAAUCAAGUGAUACAAUGUUAAAUAAUUGCAUUAAGUCAUUUCUUUCACAUUUUGUUGAUACUAAUAGUUUAUUACUCCAAAUUAUUUGAAUGCAAAGCAACCUUAAAUACUGCAUGUAUUAAGGAAACAUAUGAAUUAUGUUACAUGGAAUUAGGAUCGAAAUCUGAUACGUGGAAACAGAAAUAUUAGAAAAACGCAACAAUGAGAACUUAAAAAUAUUUAGAAAUUAGAAACGUAUAUAUAUAUAUAAUAAACACCAAAAUUAAUAUAUAAAAUACUGUAAACAUUAAUAUCAUGUACAUAAUUCUAUAGUGUAACUCACAAAAUUUGUAUAAUUACAUAGAACAAUAUAAUAAUAUAUGUAAAUCAUGUAUUUAUUUAUAUUGCUUUGAAACUGACAAAUAAAGCACAAAAAUUACUCAAUUAAUGUACAACAAUUGAAUAAUACAAACGACAUGAAACAAAACGAAUAAGUGAAAAAACAUAAUACAUUUACAUCAUUAUUUAGAGACGAGCAAUGCACCUCCAACAGCCAUUCCAUGUAAAAUAGCUUAUGAAAUGGUCUCUUCUAUUAUUUAGCCAAAAUAUCUUAAUGACUACAAUCAUGUAUUAAUUAAAGAAAAAAACAUAUACAUGUGUUGUCGACACUUAAUAUUAGCUAUUCAGUUUUCUGUUUUGUUUCUGUUUGUUCUUUGGUUCUAGAGGUUUAAUAUCUGUUCGAAUAUUUAGAAAAUUUAGUUUGAGUAACAAGUUGGAAAUCAAAUAAUAUUCUACGUAAUUUUGGAUCCCAUUUGGUUCGGUUUCAAUUUUUAGGUUAACUCCAAUUAAAAAAUAAGAAAACUCAGGAUUUUUAAAUUACAUAUCAGAUUUUUUCGGAUUUUUCGAUUAAAAUUUAGAUUAUUCAAAUAAUUUAAAUUUUGGAUAAAAUGUAUUCUGGUAAUUCAGUUUUAGGGUAUUUUCUUUUAUAAAUAUUAUUUUAAAUGAUUUGCUUAUUUUAAAAUUAAAUAUAGUUUAAAUUUAUAAGCAUAUAAACUAUAUUAUAAAAUUUGGAUAUUCGGUUCUCAGUUCAGUUUUGGUUUUUCGGUUCUAGAGAUGUAAAAUCCUUCGUGCAACUAAUUUGAUCAAAACCUGAACCGGAUUUUUUGGCUCGGUUCGUUGGUUCCAGAUAAAUGUGAGCAGACCUAAUUAAAAUAAUUGAAACUUUAUUUUACAUCACAAACUAAUUAACAUGCUUCAUAAACAUCCAUGCAUAACUUGAUACUUACUUAACAUACAACUCAAUGAAUAGUUGACUGAAUCAUUAUACCCUUUCAUUACGCUAAUUAAAUCGGUGUGUGAAAGAGAAAAUUAAUUGGUAAGACCGUGACAAGUGUUUUUUAAUUAGUGAUUAACAUUUGUAUCUCAUCCAAUUAAAAUUAACUAUAGUAAACAAUUUUAUGUUUAUAUAUCAAUUCAUUAUUUUUACUUUAUAAAUAGAAGUUUGAUUCAUUUCAUUUAACUACAAAAACAUCAUUUAACUAUAAUUAUUUUUAGUUAUUCUCUAAAACUUUUAUUUAUAUCUUUAAAAAUCUUUCUUUUUUGUGAAAUGGAUCCUAACAAUUAUCUUUUCAGUAUCCAAAAAAUACAGCUAAUUACCUUUUCCCCUAUUCAAAUCUCAACAGUUACAUAUUUCAAAAUUAAUAUUUCAAUCAACUCCAAAGUAAAAUUUACCAAAUUUCUGUAUACCAUCAUUCCUUGGAAACUACCGUCCAGUAUUGUAUUUAAAAUAGUCAAGAAUAUAUAAUAAAACAACUAAAUCUUAUUUAAAAUAUGUAAUUUUAAUUAAUUAAAUUUCAGUUGAAAAUUACUAAUAACAUGUAGUUAUUAAAUAAAAAUAUAAAAUAAAAAUUGUGGAAUAAAGUGUUAAAUUUUAUCUAAUAAAACUAUUUUUCAAAACUAAAAUUUAAAUGAGUAUUGAAUUGUUAAGUGAAAAAAAAGGAUAUUAAUUAUUAAAUAAAUUAACCAAUGUAGAUCGUUUAAAGAGAUUAGCUGAUGAUUGGAGUGCUUCGUAACUUUAGCAACCUCCACUCGAGGCUUUCUUGAUCCAAGAUAUUGGUUAUAAAAGGACCAACCUUAACAUGAAAUUGAGCGACACUUCUAAUAUUGCGAGGGAGAAGAAGAGAGCAAAAAUGAGCUUUAAUAGGAAUUUGUUAAAUAUCACAAUAAUCCUUUGUGUAUGUUUCAGUUGGGAUUGUAGCGAGGGAGCUCGAGCGAAACAGAGGAAAGAGAUUGAUUCUCAUACUAUCCAACUUAACUCUCUCUUCCCUUCACCAUCAUCACCCUAUGUUCUUUCUGCAAGAGCGUCUAACACAAAGUCCUCACUGCACGUGACACAUAGGCACGGCACGUGCUCGCGUUUAACAAGAGGCAAAUCCACGAGUCCAGACCAUGCGGAGAUCCUGAGACUCGACCAAGCGCGCGUAAACUCAAUUCACUCGAAACUGUCGAAGAAGCUCCUCACAGAUGGAGUGAGGCAAAGCCAGACAACGAAUCUACCGGCUAAACACGGAAGCAUCUAUGGAUCUGGAAACUAAAAUAUACUAUAUUUCAUUUAGAAUAGUAUGGCAAUGAUAGUUACUAUAAUUGAUGAAUGGGAAAAGGAGGAAAAUGGAGAGGUGAGGAACAGGAGGGGAGGAGGAGGAAGGAGGAAAGAUAGAAGUAUGGAGGAAAGGAAGGAGGAAUGGAGAGAGAGACCGGGGAAGAGAGGGGAGGUGGGAAAGAGUAGGAGGGAGUGUAAGAGUAAAAGCGACAGAAAAAAACUAUACUAUUUUGAUGAAUAGAUUAGUAUACUAUAAUGUAAUGUUUAUUCAAAUACUGUAUGAAAGCUAUAUAAAUUGUCAAUACAAACAUGUAUGUGAAUCUCCAUUAACUUAGAGCAUUCAUUCAACACAAUAGCAUAAGAGGCGAAGGAGAUACAAUUUGUCAAAGAGAAAAAGGAGAAUUAUAACAUAAUAUACUGUGAUUAUAAAAUAAAAUAAAAUAAAAUAUAUUACACAAAAUUUAUUUUCAAUCCAUCAUCUGAUUCUUGAUCAAGCAAAAAAAUAAAUAAACGGUGGUUCCAAUGUAAGUGAAGCAUACUAUACUGUACUUGAAAAUUAGUAUGGAAUACAUGAUAUAAGAUACUGUUCUUCUUCCCCAGUUCAAUCCAUCGCAUUGUUCUUCAUAUUCUUAAAGAUAUUGAUUCACAUAUUUGUUUCACGGUAACCGAAAUUGUUGCUUGAUCCCCUGAUUCUAUUCAAUCAUAACAAAUUUACCGAGAUUCAGCUGGUUCCUCGGUAGUCAUGCCGUCAAGUGAUUCUCUUAUUUCUACGAACACUCUGUAAUUGUCGCUCUCUGAUGUACCUCUUUUCUGUUCUCCAGCUGUUGCUCAAAAUCUUUUUUUCUAUUAGUUUCAUGAAGCAAAACACAAAGAUACAUUUUUUUUUCACGCGCAGUUAAGGCCAUUAUUGUCCAAUUUCAUAAUAAUAUGUAUUAUACAGUAGCCUAAACGUUGUUAUGUGUAUAUUCUUAAUUUUUGAUAUGUUAUGGACAUGAUCCCUAAUUCCCCUUAAAAAUAUAACUCGUACAUCCUCACAUUUUCUUUUAUAAAUCAAAAAAUGAUGAUAAGUAUAAAAAAAAUAUUUUAUGUACUAAAUUUAUCAUGUUAGAUUUUUGUUUGUACAAACAUUUAUCAUAUUGAAUUUAUGUUUUAUGAUUGUUUAAUUUGACAAAAAUAUAAUAAAUAAUAAAAGUUAGGAUUAGACAGUUUUUAGUUGCACUAAAAUAUAACUAAGUACUUUUAUCUACAUUAGCGGCUUAAAAAGAAAUCAGUUUUUAGAGAUCUGGUUCCGUGAAAUCAAUCCCACCAAUUCUGACCGUCGCAACAAAAGAGAUAUUAGCAAAGCAAUACCACUGAAACGCCUAAUUCCAAUAAACGACAAAGACCUCACUCUCAAGGAAACAAAAAUAAAUGAUAAUACCGUCACUCCAAACGUAACCGAAAACUACUAAAGGCUACAACAUAAAGGACGCGAGAGAGCAGUCCCAAACCAAGGAGUUAAAAGCACCAGCCUAAACUUGACUGGAGAAAGGAUAAGAUGAUCUCUUGCUUAGCCUUCGUCCCAAGGUAAUCAAAGACCUAACGAAGCUACAAGUUCAAUGCAUUCAUCCUACACCAACUGCUAGAAAUAGGAACCCUUAAAACCCAAGCAUCGAAGGGAGACACUUCAAAGAAACCGCCUAACCAAAAUCACAAGAGAACCAGAACCAUGACAGUAACGAACCACGCCAUACACAAACAAGAAAAAAACAGUGGGAAGAAACACAACCAGGGUAACAGAAGAGACAACUCCCUUCCAAAAGUUUCAUAAUGAAACACACCCAAUAAGGAUUCUGAGCAAACCAAGAAAAGAAAUGCAGUUCUAAAGUAUUGCCAUACCAAGCACUUAAGACCCAACACAACAGGCAAACACCGAUGAGAAGCCUGAAACAUAACC